rnacentral:rRNA from 1 species
UACGGAGGGUGCAAGCGUUGUCCGGAUUUAUUGGGUUUAAAGGGUGCGUAGGCGGCCCUGUAAGUCAGUGGUGAAAUACUCCAGCUUAACUGGAGGGGUGCCAUUGAUACUGCAGGGCUUGAGUGGAGUCGAAGUAGGCGGAAUUGACGGUGUAGCGGUGAAAUGCUUAGAUAUCGUCAAGAACACCGAUAGUGAAGACAGCUUACUAGGCUUCUACUGACGCUGAGGCACGAAAGUGUGGGGAUCAAACAGG